AGUGAACGCUGGCGGUAGGCCUAACACAUGCAAGUCGAACGGCAGCACAGUAAGAGCUUGCUCUUACGGGUGGCGAGUGGCGGACGGGUGAGGAAUACAUCGGAAUCUACUUUUUCGUGGGGGAUAACGUAGGGAAACUUACGCUAAUACCGCAUACGACCUACGGGUGAAAGCAGGGGAUCUUCGGACCUUGCGCGAUUGAAUUAGCCGAUGUCGGAUUAGCUAGUUGGCGGGGUAAUGGCCCACCAAGGCGACGAUCCGUAGCUGGUCUGAGAGGAUGAUCAGCCACACUGGAACUGGGACACGGUCCAGACUCCUGCGGGAGGCAGCAGUGGGGAAUAUUGGACAGUGGGCGCAAGCCUGAUCCAGCCAUACCGCGUGGGUGAAGAAGGCCUUCGGGUUGUAAAGCCCUUUUGUUGGGAAAGAAAAGCAGCAGGUUAAUACCCCGCUGCUCUGACGGUACCCAAAGAAUAAGCACCGGCUAACUUCGUG
rnacentral:rRNA from 1 species